rnacentral:rRNA from 1 species
CUACGGGCCGCUGCAGUGAGGAAUAUUGCACAAUGGGGGGAACCCUGAUGCAGCAACGCCGCGUGGAGGAUGACGCAUUUCGGUGUGUAAACUCCUUUUAUAUGUCAAGAAAAUGACGGUAGCAUAUGAAUAAGCACCGGCUAACUCCGUGCCAGCAGCCGCGGUAAUAAGGAGGGUGCAAGCGUUACUCGGAAUCACUGGGCGUAAAGGACGCGUAGGCGGGUUGGAAAGUCAGGUGUGAAAUCCUACAGCUUAACUGUAGAACUGCACUUGAAACUUCUAAUCUAGAGUAUGGGAGGGGGAGAUGGAAUUAGUGGUGUAGGGGUAAAAUCCGUAGAUAUCACUAGGAAUACCUAAAGCGAAGGCGAUCUCCUGGAACAUUACUGACGCUAAGGCGUGAAAGCGUGGGGAGCAAACCGGAUUAGAUACCCGCGUAGUC